rnacentral:lncRNA from 1 species
CUUUAUGUAAGGUUUGUUACAGCAACAUGUUUUCUCAGGCUGCUGGCACUGGAGUGACAAGAGCCAUCACUAGUGCUGAGGAAGUUUCAGUGGACUCACCGACAUCAAGGAUGAGGCCUGGAGUCUGAAUCUGGUGCUACAAAAACAGAAUCCUGCAGCUGGAUAAUUUAUAAAGAACACAGGUUUAUUCUCAAGGCUGGGCAGUCGCAGACAUGGGGACUGAACUUUAUGAGGGUCUUCAUGCUGCCUUACAAUAUGGCAAAGGCAUCACAUGUCAAGAGAACAACUGAGCAAGAAGAAACACUCCACCCCCACCCCCA